CUUGGCCAUGCCCUUGGUGUCAGAGCUCUAGGGGGACAGACCCCUGCAUGGGCAGAGGGAGGCUGUGGGCAUCUCAGGGGGUCAGCAGGACUUUGUGCCAGCAGUGACCAUGGUUGUCGAUGGAGUUGCUCUCUGCAGGACUGUGGAAGCAACACAGAGAGCUAUGGAGCAGCCAUUCAGUGUGCCCACAGGUUGUGACCAACGUCGAGCCCAGGCCGGUGUGAGCAGUGAGCAGUGGUGUAAGCCGAGAUGUGCCUGCAGCCGUGCUGACCUGCCCGCUAACCCUGCCUCACCCAGCGCCAUGGGAGGAUGCUUCUCCAAACCUAAACCAGUUGAAGUAAAAAUUGAAGUUGUGAUACCCGAGAAGGAAAGAAGCAAGGAGGAGAUGUCACCCAAUGGGAAAGCCAGCCCUCUGAUCUACAAAGUCAACGGGACUGCCCGGCAUUAUCAUCUCGAGGAGCAUCCCAUUGCCAGCAACCCCUACCACAACCCAAAGGACGUGGUGGAAGCAUCCGUGUGCCACGUGAAGGACCUGGAGAAUGGACAGAUGCGGGAAGUGGACCUGGGCUGCGGGAAGGCUCUGCUCAUCAAGGAGAACGGCGAGUUCCAUGCCGUGGGACACAAGUGUCCCCACUAUGGGGCUCCACUGGUCAAAGGGGUUUUGUCCAAAGGAAGAGUCCGCUGUCCCUGGCAUGGAGCUUGCUUCAACAUCAGCACAGGUGACAUAGAGGACUUCCCUGGCUUGGACAGCUUACCCAGGUUCCAGGUGAAGAUCGAGAAGGAGAAGGUGUACAUCAGAGCAAGCAAGCAGGCUCUUCAGACACAGAGGAGGACAAAGGUGAUGGCAAAGUGCAUCUCCUUGAGCAACUAUAACCUGAGCAGCACCAAUGUGCUGAUCAUCGGUGCAGGGGCAGCCGGACUGCUCUGUGCAGAGACCUUGCGCCAGGAGGGUUUCUCAGACAGGAUUGUGAUGUGCACGAUGGACAGACACCUGCCCUACGACAGACCGAAGCUCAGUAAGUCGAUGGAUUCCCACCCGGAGCAGAUUGCCCUGCGCCCCAAGGAGUUCUUCCGCAGCUACGACAUUGAAGUCCUGACCGAAAUGCAGGUUGCGGCUGUGGACGUCAAGAACAAGACAGCUGUGUUCAAGGAUGGAUUUAAGAUGGAAUACAACAAGCUGCUGAUAGCAACGGGAAAUACGCCCAAAGCUCUCAGCUGCAAAGGCAAGGAGGUGGAAAACGUUUUCAACAUCCGGACGCCUGAAGAUGCCAGCCGUGUGGUGAAGCUGGCCACCAGCAAGAACGUGGUUAUUGUGGGAGCAUCCUUCCUGGGGAUGGAGGUGGCCGCCUACCUCACGGAGAGGGCCCACUCGGUGUCCGUGGUGGAGCUCGAGGAAGUGCCCUUCAAGAAGUCCUUUGGGGAGAGGGUUGGCCGUGCUGUCAUGAAGAUGUUUGAGAGCAACAGGGUGAAGUUCUACAUGCAGACAGAGGUGUCAGAGCUGCGGGAGCAGGAGAGCAAGCUGAAGGAGGUGGUGCUGAAGAGCGGGAAGGUGCUGCGUGCCGACGUGUGUGUUGUUGGCAUUGGUGCAGUCCCAGCAACGGGCUUCCUCAAGCAGAGUGGCAUAAACAUCGACUCCAAAGGCUUCAUCGUGGUCAACAAGAUGAUGCAGACCAACGUCCCAGGAGUGUUUGCGGCCGGUGACGCCGUCACAUUCCCACUGUCCUUGAGGAAUAAUAAGAAGGUGAAUGUCCCUCACUGGCAGAUGGCCCACAUGCACGGCCGUGUAGCUGCACUGAACAUGCUGGCCCAUGGCGUGGAGCUCAGCACAGUCCCAUACCUGUGGACUGCGAUGUUCGGGAAGAGCAUCCGAUAUGCGGGUCAUGGGGAAGGAUUUGAUGAUGUUGUCAUUCAGGGAGAUUUAGAUGAACUGAAGUUUGUGGCAUUUUAUACCAACAUGUGCUUCCUGGGUGCUGGAGCUGUGCUUGUGCAGGGCUGCUCUAACCCCAUGCUCUGCCUGGCCCUAGGAGUGACGAGGUGGUGGCUGUGGCCAGCAUGAACUACGACCCCAUUGUGUCCAAGGUGGCCGAGGUCCUGGCUGCCGGCAGGACCAUCCGGAAGCGCGAUGUGGAGCUGUUUGUUCGUCACGGCAAAACUGGAGACAUGUCCUGGCUGACAGGAAAAGGCUCCUAAUGCUGCUGGUGGCUGUGCCCUCCUGGUGCUGCACUCUCUGUGGGGAGAUGGGCUGGCAGCUUCACAGAGGAGUGGGAACACCGUGGCUGAGUCACUUCCCCUUCAGACCCAGAUGAGCCUGGCCCCGGUCACUGUGCACUCACCACCCCCUGCCCCGCUGCCUCCCAGGCUGGGGCUCUGCUCCUGCAAUUCCCAUGGGAUGCUGGAAAAGCAGCCCCCACAGAGAGCAGGGCUCGGCACUGGUGGUGGGCACGGGUGCUGCAGAUGCUGACAACAGACUGGGAGUCCCCAGCAAGACCCUUGCCCCCGUAAGCAGCGUGCCUUUUGUUGCUCCUUGUGCUUUCAAGCAUGUGGCCCCAUCCCCAAUCCCCUUUGUUCCCACAGAGUUCUGAUGUGCAUCCCCGCAGAGCCGGACCUCUGCUCCCCCUCCGCAUGGCUCAGCACUGCCAUGGCUGUCCCCGUGCCCACCCAGCUCAGGAAGUGUGGGGACGGGCAGGGAUGGGGUCACACCGGGGGUCUCUGUACAGCCCAUGCUGGAGUCUUGCCCCUUCCCCACGCUGGUCGCCCCAUCCAGCCCUAGCAGAGGUGGUCCCUGCCCAGGCCGAGGGCUCUAGAGCUCAUCAGUCUCCAGCAUCAGCAGCACCCCCCGUGCCAGCACAGCCGAGGGGCUGGAGCUGCUCCCAGCUUUUGGGGCAGCUCUCGGUCAGUGUCGGUGUGAGUGCGGUGCGGAGCGGGGUCUCCCUGCAGAGGUGUGAGGGCAGCCCCCAGCCUGGGGCAGUGCCUCAG